UUUGUUGGUGUGAUCUGCUCCUGGUCCUUCGCUUCCCUGUGUACGAGUUGGAGUGAGUGUGCAUGUGUGUGUGUGUGUGCCGUGGUAUGUUGGUUUUGCUGCCACACCAGGCCUGGAGAGUCUCCUACCUUUGAGCUAGCUACACCUGGGAUUAAUCACUCACCUGUUGCUGAUCUGCCUAUCAAGGAGCCCUACUUAAGAGAGCAGUGGAGCGGCAGUUGGUGUGGGAUUGUUACACUAUGAACACAGUCAAAUGUGGAAACGUGUGGAGGGAGCAGCACACUGUGUAACUUCACCACAUAUCAAGGAGAGGAAUCACGGCCUGGGAACUGGGAACACACUGUGGAUUGUUGGCACUGUUUCAUAGCUUAGAAAUAGACUAACUACUGAUUGGACAUCUUCAUCCAUCCAUCACAGCUGAAUGCAAGUUUUUUUUUUUUUCUCCUCUGGAAGCAAGAGGCUGUUCUGCAGAUGUGAAUGUAAAGGUGGAAACAUUCUCAUUGAAACAACCGGUGAUACAGCUAAGAAUGGCAGAUACAGCAUUAAAUCUGAAGACAAUGGUUUGUUUUCAUCUGAUACUAUGCAUAUAACCAUUGACCAGCUAAAAACAUCUGACACAGGAUGUUACAUGUGCUGUGUGAAAAGAACUCUGAUGCUAGAUUCAACUGAGAAGUUUGAGAUUGUUGUUACAAAGGGUGAGUUUUUUUUCUUUCUAAAUAUAGUGUUUGUCAGUAUAUUUAGACAACAAAUUUCUUUUUUCAGCCCCCAUAACAAUGAUUACAGCAACAACAAUGACAAAGCUACCACCAACAAAAAGAAACAACAACAAUCAAGGUGCCAACAACAAUGACUUUAAAAUAUACUUCAGGAAUGACCACAACUUGUUAAAGUACCUACAUGCAUUUUUUCAUUCAGGCUUUUAGAUAUAAAAUGCUUAAGUAAAAUUAAAAUAAAGGAAAGUACAUAGUAUUGAAAAAAAGUUUGAUAAUACCACUGUCCAUUAUAUUUAAACUUGAUCAGUCACACAUAAUUUUUUAAUUUUUUUUCACCUGUUCUAAAUGUACUUUAAUGUGAUAUUUUUCAUCUGUCUAAUAUCUGGGAUAUUUCAACAUGGCAGUGGAAAAAUAUACUUGCUUCAUAGAGAUCAAUAAUCCCAAACAAUAACAAAUACUGUCUAGAAUAAAAAGCAUUGCAUGCCCCAAAACAAAUGCCAAAAACACACUUUCCACUAUGUGGAAUCAAAACAAAGCUGCAAAGGCAAAUUGAAACAAUAAUUGUUUAAU